rnacentral:lncRNA from 1 species
GGCGGAAGGUGAGGCUUGAUGGCAGAGAGGCAUGCAUAGUCACGGGAUGGGGAGAUGGCGAGGACCUGGGAGGCAGAGUGUGGCAACGAGAAAGCAGAAGGCUAUGACCUUAGAUGUCCUUGGCCUUCCUGCUAGUAUCUCCAGCCUGAGCAGCAUCAUCUAGAGCCUACUCUGCUCACCGUCCAUUCCCUGUGGACCUAGGACAUCACUGACCUUUCACAUUGACCUUGAAGCGCCGGCUGUCUUGGCCGCCAGAUGUGGACACACGGCACUCCCAGAACCCACUGUCCGCAAGAACCAAGCGGGGCACCUCGAACUCAGCUGUGGUCUUCUCUGGCUCCACAAUGGCCUUGGUGGACUAAAAGAGAUGGGGGAAGGGGACAGGUCACAGGGAAUGAGCACCUCUGUGGCAGGCACCCAGAUGUCCGUCUGGACUGAUGGCAGGACAGAGGCCCAGUGGCAGUCCCCUCACCAAUCAGCCUGACCUCAUGUGAGCAAUGGUCAGGCCAAUAGGUGGGCCCUGCAGAAAGUUCUGAGGGACUAGGGGGUCUUAGGGAUCAGCUGUGAAGCAGGCGGCCUGCGGGGCUGGUGGGUUGGGGUGAUUGGGGGCUGACCAGGAGCACAGUGCCGUCUGGCUUGCGUAGCUCUAUGCUGCCCCGCACGGGGAAGGGGUUCCCUGCAGCUGCACAGUUGAUCCGGGGCAUCGUCUCUAAGUUGAACUCCAGUUCUGAGGCCAUGUUGAGGAUCUGGGGGAUCCGGUCUGGGGAGAAAGGACACUCAUCCUGGAGCUCCCACAGGGGCAAACACGUGACCACCAAAGCGCCCCUCAUCCGUGUUCUGUUUCUCAUUGGAGGUAUCUACCCAGUCCCUCCAGCCUGAAAACCAGCAAAGGCCCGCAUGACUCCUCCAGCGUCCCAGCCCCACAUCCCAUCAGCUGCAAAGUCUACUUCCUAACCACCUCCCCACUUCCCGAUACCGUCUAAUACCUGCCAGCAGGCCCCUCACCAUCCUCCCAGCCAGCACACUAGCUCAGGCCUCAUCAUUUCUGGUCCCUAGGUAGAGAGUCCUUGAGGGUCUCCUGCUCCCGCUCCCCGGCCAGCAGCUAGGGGUCCUUUCUCCAACACAGAUCUGACUACCUUGUUCCUUUUUAACAAUUCCCUCUUGCCCCAUCAUAUGAAGUGCAAAC